GGCUUGGUGGCAUAAUGGUAACGCACUCCAUGUACCUAUAUGCAGUGUUUGUAUAUCGUUCGACGGAAAGUCCGGAGUUCAAUUCUCUGUCAAGCCA